rnacentral:rRNA from 1 species
AUGAACGCUAGCGGGAGGCCUAACACAUGCAAGUCGAGGGGUAACGGAAGUAGCUUGCUACUAGACGACGACCGGCGCACGGGUGAGUAACGCGUAUGUAAUCUGCCUUGUACAGAGGGAUAGCCCAGAGAAAUUUGGAUUAAUACCUCAUAGUAUUACCGAAUCGCAUGAUUUGGUAAUUAAAGCUCCGGCGGUACAAGAUGAACAUGCGUGACAUUAGCUAGUUGGUAAGGUAACGGCUUACCAAGGCUACGAUGUCUAGGGGUUCUGAGAGGAUGAUCCCCCACACUGGUACUGAGACACGGACCAGACUCCUACGGGAGGCAGCAGUGAGGAAUAUUGGUCAAUGGACGCAAGUCUGAACCAGCCAUCCCGCGUGAAGGAUGACUGCCCUAUGGGUUGUAAACUUCUUUUAUAUGCAAAUAAACCUACUUUCGUGAAAGUAGCUGAAGGUAGCAUAUGAAUAAACACCGGCUAACUCCGUGCCAGCAGCCGCGGUAAUACGGAGGGUGUAAGCGUUAUCCGGAUUUAUUGGGUUUAAAGGGUACGUAGGCGGUAAUAUAAGUCAGUGGUGAAAUCCUGCAGCUCA